rnacentral:lncRNA from 1 species
GUACCACACCAAGCAAAGCUCUCUGGGUGACACAGUUGCCACCACCAGGGCACUGACCCUUACUCUGUGUUCUCCUAGCUCCUCCUGAGGGUGCUGUAGGAGACAUCUGCAAAAAAGAAGAUGCUGGCAAUAUGCCAUCAACCUCAGAGGGGAGUAUUUACCUUGAAAUGGCUCACUUCCUGAGGAACAAACUUGCUGGAUCUAGUGUACGGAAACCUGAUUCUGGGUUCCUUUGGGAAGGAGCAUUACGGGCCUGCUCCUGGACCACCUCAUAUCACCAGCACCCUCUACCCAAGGUCCUGGAGCCAACACUGGAGUAAAAGAGCACAAGAGAACUCCUUAGAGGUGGAAGUGGCUGGAAGUUGCAGAGGUUUCAGAAGCUCAUCCAAGAUUCUGGAGCCUCCAUCUCCAGCCCUAAUGCUGUCCGCCUUUUCACCCAGCCACCACCUGUUUCAGGAGAACACACAGAAGUGAUGACCUUUUCUGGACAGGAUACCCUCUGAGGUCAAAUCAUUGGGCUUGUGGCCAUGAGACCACAGACUUUGCCUGGCUUCCAGUGACUGUCCGAGAUGACCUGUGGAGUGCACCGCCUGUACUUGGACAUCACUGUCUUUUCGGAUCCAUACCCGUCAUCCUUGGAAUUUCCCCUGCAUCCAAACCUGUUCCUGAUACAGGUAUAACCCUAAGGAAUAUCUUGGAUGUCUUCACGGGGCUUAUGACUUAUUCUGAGGUUUACAAAAUAGAGGCCCCCAGCUGAGCAAAGAGAGGGCUGCAGCGCCGAGGGAACAGCUGCCGGACUCACCGGAGAGGCCUCCUGGAGCACGCCGGGACCCCCUCCACCCCCUGGCUUUGG